rnacentral:rRNA from 1 species
CCUACGGGAGGCUGCAGUGGGGAAUAUUGGGCAAUGGGCGCAAGCCUGACCCAGCAACGCCGCGUGAAGGAAGAAGGCUUUCGGGUUGUAAACUUCUUUUGACAGGGAAGAGCAGAAGACGGUACCUGUCGAAUAAGCCACGGCUAACUACGUGCCAGCAGCCGCGGUAAUACGUAGGUGGCAAGCGUUGUCCGGAUUUACUGGGUGUAAAGGGCGUGUAGCCGGGCUGACAAGUCAGAUGUGAAAUCCGGGGGCUCAACCCCCGAACUGCAUUUGAAACUGUUGGUCUUGAGUAUCGGAGGGGCAGGGGGGAAUUCCAGGUGAGGGGGGGAAA